CCUACGGGCGGCAGCAGUGGGGAAUAUUGCACAAUGGGGGAAACCCUGAUCCAGCGACGCCGCGUGAAGGAAGAAGUCUUUCUGGAUGUAAACUUCUAUCAGCAGGGAAGAAAAUGACGGUACCUGCCUACGAAUCCCCGGCUCACUACGUGACAGCAGCCGCGGGAAUACGUAGGGGGCAAGCGUUAUCCGGAUUUACUGGGUGGAAAGGGAGCGUAGGCGGCGAUGCAAGUCAGAAGUGAAAGCCAGGGGCUCAACUCCGGGACUGCUGUUGAAACUGUAUGGCUUGAGUGCAGGAGAGGCAAGUGGAAUGCGUGGUGUAGCGGUGAAAUGCGUAGAUAUUAGGAGGAACACCAGUGGCGAAGGCGGCUUGCUGGACUGUAAAUGACGCUGAGGCACGAAAGCGUGGGGAGCAAACAGGAUUAGAUACCCGGGUAGUC
rnacentral:rRNA from 1 species